CGGAACGCGGUCACUCACUAAAACACACCGAUUUCUUGGGAAAAAAUAACGAGUUCGCUGCUAGUCAGUUUCGCGGCGACGGUUUCCGUGCCAACAGAGUAGCGUACGAAAAGUUGCCAAUAUCAUUUUGAUUGUUGUACUUUAAUUGGAUAUCAAAAAUAUAAUUAAAUCGAAAUAUUCAAUAGUACUUAACAUUUUUUUUAAUCAUUAAGGUCUCAAUGAUUUUGUGGAGCGAAAGAGACCGACCGCGUCGGUCUUACUGAACACGACAGGAUCCACAGAAUUCGUCAGCGUAUUUUCCGCAAAAGUUUAAAGUGUCUCUGCUAGCAACUAUGUUAAUAGUUUGACUUUUGAGACAUAAUUUCCGUAGUAAACACUGCAUUUUAGUGAAAUGUAAAGUUGUGCACGAAAACAUAAAUUAAACUUCUAAUUUAAGUGGCGCUAUCCGGCGGGCGACAUGGACACCGUGUACCCCGCGGCGGCGUCGGUGCUCGCC
rnacentral:misc_RNA from 1 species